CCAAACUUGGUCAUUUAGAGGAAGUAAAAGUCGUAACAAGGUUUCCGUAGGUGAACCUGCGGAAGGAUCAUUACUGAAGAAAUGAUAGGGCUGAGCUGGCUCUUCGGAGUAUGUGCUCGCUCUGUCGCUUUUUCUACUCUCCACUGUGAACCUUUUGUAGGCUAUGAUAACCCUCAGCCCUCGUUUACGAGGCUGGAUAGAGGACUUGCAGUUCGCUUGACCUCACCUUCAUAGCCUAUGGUCUACAUACACUCUUUUUAAACCUUUGAAUGUAAUCUUGUUGGUCUUCACUGACCGAUAAAAAACCUAUACAACUUUCAGCAACGGAUCUCUUGGCUCUCGCAUCGAUGAAGAACGCAGC
rnacentral:misc_RNA from 1 species